GGAGGUAUAGCUCAAGUGGUAGAGUGUGUGGUUGGCAUGCAUGAGGUCCAGGGUUCAGUCCCCAGUACCUCCU
rnacentral:tRNA from 1 species